GCAAACCAAGCUGAUCAAUAUAAUUACGAAACUAUACUUUUUAUAAAAGUUUCAGUUCCACGCCUAUAUGGAGGAUUCGACUUUAGAAAAUAUUUGGGUUCAAUAGAAACUGAAAUAAUUAAAAAUGCUAUAAAAAAGAAUUAAAAACUAAUGUAUGUAUCCUGUGAGAAUAGUAUUCGAGACAAAAUACUAGCUAGCUAGCUAGUUAAAAUACCAUAAGCAGCUAUUGGACAGCUAUACAAGCUUAGGCAUGGUAGUGUGUUGCCCCCUGUUCCAUUCAUCAAUUUGUUGCCUGUUGACAUGGACAGCGACGCGCAGCUACGCUUCUUCUCGGACAGCGGGGUGGGCGGUCACAUCCUGCUACUACACAUGAAUAACUUUAGUGUCAAUAAUGAUAGCGCCGAGAUAAAGGUUUAUUUUAUGAAUUUAAACUAAAAAUAGCAUAGUUAUGAAUAACUUUCGCAAAAGGUCUAAAAAGUAAAAAAGACGGGGGUUGGAGGGGCCAUCAGAGAUAGGCUUCGUUGGUAUGCCUCAGUCUACAGUCGCCAUGGACCACAGCUUCUCUCGUCGCUCAGUGCACUAGGGAGAUCGGUUCCCAAGUAUUGUGGCGGCUAGGGUUUUCUUGAGGCUGGAGGCUUUGUGCUUCCAAGCUGCUAGAGAAAAUACCUUCAUUAGCUAGCAUGAGCCCCACGGCGGUGCCACCAUGGCCGUCGACAUCGAGUCUUCCUCGCCAGAGUCCAACAGAAUAGAGGGAGAGAGGGAGAAGAGAACAGAGUGGUGCGAUCGUGUGAAGUGAUUAGGGUAUCUAGGGGUGUCCGAAUUUUUUGGGCUUAAAUACCCAUCAAUACUACUCCGGGAAACGUUGAUCGUCAGAUGAAAUGGAAUGGCCAGAGCCAAUACGGAAACGUGUCGAGCGCGUGGUUGGGCUGGAAUGGUGGCCUCGGCCCAGGUUGCGUCCCAGACACGCCUCCGCCCCUCACCCAAUUCUGAUGGGCCACACAUUAAAGGGGCAAAAGGCCAACAAAGGCCAAA
rnacentral:lncRNA from 1 species